GGGAAUAUUGCACAAUGGGGGGAACCCUGAUGCAGCGACGCCGCGUGAGCGAAGAAGUAUUUCGGUAUGUAAAGCUCUAUCAGCAGGGAAGAAAAUGACGGUACCUGACUAAGAAGCCCCGGCUAACUACGUGCCAGCAGCCGCGGUAAUACGUAGGGGGCAAGCGUUAUCCGGAUUUACUGGGUGUAAAGGGAGCGUAGACGGCGUAUCAAGUCUGAUGUGAAAGGCAUGGGCUCAACCCGUGGACUGCAUUGGAAACUGGUAUGCUUGAGUGCCGGAGGGGUAAGCGGAAUUCCUAGUGUAGCGGUGAAAUGCGUAGAUAUUAGGAGGAACACCAGUGGCGAAGGCGGCUUACUGGACGGUAACUGACGUUGAGGCUCGAAAGCGUGGGGAGCAAACA
rnacentral:rRNA from 1 species